rnacentral:rRNA from 1 species
GAUGAACGCUAGCGGGAGGCUUAACACAUGCAAGUCGAGGGGCAUCACGAGGUAGCAAUACUUUGGUGGCGACCGGCGCACGGGUGAGUAACGCGUAUGCAACCUACCCUGUACAGUGGGAUAACCCGGAGAAAUUCGGACUAAUACCGCAUAAAGAUAUGUUGAGGCAUCUUAAGAUAUUUAUAGCUUAGGUGGUACGGGAUGGGCAUGCGUAACAUUAGCUGGUUGGUAGGGUAACGGCCUACCAAGGCGAUGAUGUUUAGGGGACCUGAGAGGGUGAUCCCCCACACUGGUACUGAGACACGGACCAGACUCCUACGGGAGGCAGCAGUGAGGAAUAUUGGUCAAUGGGCGGAAGCUUGAACCAGCCAUCCCGCGUGCAGGAAGACAGCCCUAUGGGUUGUAAACUGCUUUUCCAGUGGGCGAAACACUCGUACGUGUACGAGAUUGACGGUACACUGGGAAUAAGCAUCGGCUAACUCCGUGCCAGCAGCCGCCGUAAUAC